rnacentral:lncRNA from 1 species
GGUGGGGAGAGUGGAGUCCCACAGAAACAGGGAAGAUCAAUUGUUGGCAGGACCAUGGAAGGGACCGAGGAUAUUUAUAUAAAUCAAGGGUUGUCCCCCAAGAAGAGGGUCAAGAAGAAAGAUCCCCCAGCAGGUGCCGAUAAAUUUAAAGAAGACAAUGAACCUGAUUAUGAAAACAUCUCGGUGAUCACAAAGAACAAAAAUGAUCCUCUGAAGCAACAAUCAGUGUCCAUCCAAUGGGCCCCUCCUGCUUCAGCUCCAAGCAAUUCUUCAAGACAUUCCUCAGUGCAAAAGUCUCUCCUGGGAAUUUACCUCUUCCUGGGCCUGGCUUUCCUGCUGUGCAUUGUCUCCGUGUCUCUGUUAGUGGUGAAAAAUUCUGAAUUUUCCAUGCACCUGAGGAGUAUGAAAAUUGAGCUGUGGAAUGUCUCUAGCAUGCUCCAGAAGGAGCAGGAUAAUGCUCAGCAACUGAAGACUCAGAUCACCGAAAUAAAGAACACCACAAAAGUCUAUAACAAAGUCUUUCAACAAAUUUUAAGAGACCUGUCGGACAGUAGUUCUAAGUUGAAUUAUUUGAAAAAUCAAUUACAAAAACUGAAAGAGGCUCAAAAAUCAGGACCAAGUUCCAAACAUAAUUCAACUGGCUAAAAAAGGAGACCAACCUAUCGUCUGGAAGACUGCACCUUUGGGAGAAGCUUUGGGAGGGCCUCUGUGUCCUUCCUAUUAUGAGCUGGGUGUGUUUCUACAUUUGUGAAUAGAAUGUAACAUGCUUUAAGAUUCUCAAAGAAAAAGAAAAAUCAGACUCUGAACAUCACUCCCUCUUCUCUUAGUGUGUGCUCUCCCAAGUGUAGGUCUAUGAGGGUGCCUUGGUGUGUAUAAUUAUAUCAGGUCUUGUCUUUCUGUGUCUGGGGUUUACAAAAGGGGAUGAGUGUGUACAAGAGUAGGGCAGAGACCACCUCCAGGUAUAGGCUGUUAGGUAGGUACUGGAGGAAGAAAAGAUAGAAAGGUGUAAAGAUAGUAUAAAAAACAAAAGAUAGAAAUAAAAAAAUUUUAAAGAAAAGAAAAGAAAAAAAUUCAAAUUAAGCCAUUGGUAAAUACUGACCCCACUGAGGUCCCAGUGGCUAUCUUUACUUCCCAGUAAUAUUCCCUCAGUGGCUAAGCUUGGUGUAGAUCUCUGGAUACAGUUUACAUUUUAAAAUGUAAAAUCAUUAAUUUAUGAUAUUUUAUUUUUGGUCUGAACCUUUGAUUUCAUUGGUGGAGAGAAUUCCUUGGUGAAGAAAAUCUAUUACUGCAAAUGGACAAUAUACACAUGACAGAUUACGGGUUAUUUGCUAAAGGGAUAAAUGACAUAGAGAAUAAUGGAGAGGCACAUGGUGGGUAUGAACACCCUGUAACAUAUAACCAGUGAGGAAUUCUGAAGGAGACCAGGUUUAAAUGAUGUCCUCAAGAAGAGAAGAUGGGAUGGACAGAUGGAUAGCCACAGGUACCUUUGUGAUACCUUCUUCAAAAGUCUCCAGGAUGUUGGUUGAACUGAUGAAGGAACAAGAAAAUAAUAAGCAUUUAUUGAGCACCUAUUAUAUUCCAGUUGCUGUACUAAAUGGACACUGUUUGGUGGAUGCUAUUGUGAUUCCUCCAAGGAGGAUGGGAUUUGAACACACAUGUGCAAAGCAUAAUGAAUUAGCAGUUCAUUGCCUCAAUCACUCAGCCACCAGAGCAUUCGGAUCAUAUUGGUCUGAUCAGCCACAAUCAGAUGCAUUGUAACUCCAUUCUACCAGAGUGAUGUCAUUUUGGUCUGCUUUGAAAAGACAAUAACCAUUGUGAUUCUUAUUUUACAGUUGGGUAAACUGAGGUAGUUUUUUUUUUUUUUUUGCUCAAGGAUAUACAGCAAUUAAGUGUCUGAAGCUUGAGUCCUCCUGACUCUGGGGUUAAUGCUCUGUCUACUACAUCACCCAGCUGUGCCUCAGUUUUCACAAUUCUAAAAUGGGGAUAAUAAAAGCAUUUACUUCACAGGGUUGUGAGAAUCAAAUGAGAUAAUGUUUGUAAAAGGUUUAGUAUAGAGAUUUGCACAGAGAAAAUACAGUAAAAACACUCAGUUCCUUCCUUUUAACAUUUGAUACACUUGGUCAUAUCAUUGCUCUAUUCUGGGUUAAGGGAUGGGGAAAGAGGCUUUUAAGUGGGUUAAUUUAGGGCCCUUUGUCCUUUGUCCUUCUUGUCUAACCUAACCCUAUCAAAAAUAAGGUGAGAGUUCCUUGCUGAAUUUUUUAUGAGAUUUCCUCAAAGAUUGUGAGGUUAGCUCUUUACUAAGAGGAAACAGGAAUUUAGUUGAAUCUUGCUUUUGGAAUUGAGAAUGAAUGAAAGACUGAGGGUAUUUCUCAUUCAGAUCAAUCCAAAGGCUUCAGUCAUUCAGGCAGUCAACAAGCACUUAUUAAGCAUCUAGGAGGUGCAUUGGAUAAAGUAGCUAGUGUGGAGUCAGGAAGGCCUGAAUUCAAACAUUUACUAUCCGUGUGACUCUGGGCAAGUCAUAUGCCUCAUUUGCCUCAGUUUCCUUAUCUGUAAAAUAAACCAGAAAAGGAAUUGGCAAGUCACUGUACUAUUUUUGCCAAGAAAAUCCCCCAAAAGGGUCAUGAAGAGUCAAACAUGACUGAAAAACAGUCCAUUUUUUUUAAAUUAUAAAAUUUAUUUAUUUUUAAUACACAUUGCUUUAUGACUCAUAUUGGGAGAGAAAAAUCAGAGCAAAAGGGGAAAAGCAUGGGAGAGAUUAAAAAAAAAACAGAAAAAGAAGUGAACAUAGCAUGUGCUGAUUUACACUCAGUCUCAGCUCUUAAAUAACUUUCUUUCAAGGAACUACAGUUAAUGAGGGAGACAACACGUGAACCAUUAUGUACAAACAAGAUAUAGCCAGAACAAUUUGGAGAUAAUCAACAGAGGAAAGAUAUUGACAUUAAGGGGAAUCAGGAAAGGUUUCGUGUAAAAGUUGGGAUUUUAUCUGAGACUUGAGGAUAGUCAGAGAAGUAAGAGCAAGAAAUGAGGAAGGAGAGAGUUCCAGGAUGGGAGAUAGACAUGAAUCUGUCUGGAAUCAGGAGAUGGAAUGUUUGGUAUGAGAAGCAGUGAGGAGAAGCAAGUAGGAUGCUGGCAAAUGUUUAACAACCAGCUCUCUGGGAAAAAAAAAAGUACCUAUGGCACAUUUUUAUUUUUAAUAUAUUUUAGCAACUUUUUUCCCAUCACUUUCUUAAGUUUGGACAAUCAGCAGAAUGAUAGAUCAAGUCCUGAUGUGUAGGGGUUUGCUAAUUUUUGAGGUAUAAACAUUCAUACUGAAAAUUUAACAAUCAGCUGUGGGCUGGCUCCAACAAACCCUUGACAAAGGCCAGUGUCACUGAAUUGCAGGUGAUGAAUUGUGGUGGUGGUAUGAUGUGUGAGAAGACUGGAAAAGCAAGAAGGAGUCAAGUACUGGGGACCUUAAAAGUCAAACAGGACAGCUAGGUGAUCCCAGAGUGCACAGAGCACUGGGCUUGGAGUCAAGGAAAACUCAUCUUCUGAAUUCAAAUCUCACCUCAGAUACUUACUAACUGCAUGAUCUUGGGCAACU